GGAGCAUGGUGGACUGGUGAGUAACGUGUAAAGAACUUGCCUCUUAGACUGGGAUAACAAGUGGAAACGCUUGAUAAUACUAGAUAUUAUGAUACUAAGGCAUCUUGGUAACAUGAAAGGAUAAGAUUGCUAAGAGAGAGCUUUGCAUCCUAUUAGCUAGUUGGUGGGGUAAAGGCCUACCAAGGCGAUGAUAGGUAGCCGGCCCGAGAGGGUGAACGGCCACAAGGGGACUGAGAUACGGCCCUUACUCC
rnacentral:rRNA from 1 species